UUCGACGUCUGCAGGAGCUUCCUUCCCAGUCAUCACCACCCACACACCCACAAUGGGUUGUAAUUGUAGGACCGUCCAGCAGUGGGCAGAAAAUGUGGUUCGGUGUGGUGCUGCUGAUUCACUAUCGCUCCAAGGGAUGCCCUACUUUGAGCUGGCUGAGCCCAGAUCAACAGGUUUCCAAGCACCUUGCUCUAUUUUAUUCUUGAUGUCAGGUGAAGUCUCACUGGAACGAGCAUCUCCAUCAGAAGUUGUCCGCUGGGAUCCACCAAAAUACACCAUCUACAGCAGACAGAACCCAUGAAUGAACCAAGAAAACUCACCAAUCCACUCACAACAUCACUAACAUUGUAUGACACUGCGCCACAGUGAUUCACCGUUCAGUGAUCUGUUUCACCAUCCUGAUUGCCAUGGAAGGGGAAGAUCCUGGGAUAUUAUUACUCUGCACCGCUAAAGGAGCCUGCUUCUGCAUCUGGGCAAAUAGAGGUUUUGUGAUGGGAUCGCUCAAUGGGAGCAUGAAAACUCGAGAACAUCACGAUGGAAUCAGACAGAAAUAUUGACUCUGCGAUGGGCGAAGUAGAAAUCAAUUCAUUGAUGAUUAGAAACUUACAGUCACAGUCACUGCUUGGAACCAUCGGCGGUUCCAAUCCAACCUACUAUUCUACUCGAUUCCCACUCAAGACAGUAGCAAUCGGGAGGAAGCGCAGCUGCAACAUGAGAAUUAGGUCUCAGACGGUACCUAUUUACAAGAUUAAAGCACUCCAC
rnacentral:lncRNA from 1 species